rnacentral:piRNA from 1 species
UGAACACACCUCUGGUGUGCUGAAGGU